CCUACGGGGCGCUGCAGUGGGGAAUAUUGCACAAUGGGGGGAACCCUGAUGCAGCGACGCCGCGUGAGUGAAGAAGUAUUUCGGUAUGUAAAGCUCUAUCAGCAGGGAAGAAAAUGACGGUACCUGACUAAGAAGCCCCGGCUAACUACGUGCCAGCAGCCGCGGUACUACGUAGGGGGCAAGCGUUAUCCGGAUUUACUGGGUGUAAAGGGAGCGCAGACGGCUGUGCAAGUCUGGAGUGAAAGGCGGGGGCCCAACCCCCGGACUGCGCUGGAAACUGUAAAGCUGGAGUGCAGGAGAGGUAAGCGGAAUUCGUAGUGUAGCGGUGAAAUGCGUAGAUAUUAGGAGGAACACCAGUGGCGAAGGCGGCUUACUGGACUGCAACUGACGUUGAGGCUCGAAAGCGUGGGGAGCAAACAGGAUUAGAUACCCCAGUAGUC
rnacentral:rRNA from 1 species